rnacentral:lncRNA from 1 species
UCCAAUUGUUUAGAUUACAGCCCAAACCUACAUGUGAAUACAGCCAUCUGGGUUCCGAUGUAACGUCUGUAAUAUUGCAUAGAAAAGGCACAGCUCUCAGGUCUGUGGGGGAAAGGUUAUACCUCCUUUUUGACAAAAGCCCUCCUCAAAAACCAUGCACCAAACAUGUCACUAUGUACAUCUUUUUUCAAAAUCUCGGUCAUGCGCACAUAUGGCCUGCAUUUCUCUUCCAAAACUUGUUAUCCCCAAAAGAAGUCCAACUUUUUAUUGGCUUUGUCUGCAACAGCAUUUGAUCCUGGCUAAUUUUCAAGAACCAUUCAGACUCAUUCUUAGAAACACUGAAAACAAUUGUACAUAAGCAGGAUGCACACAACUCCAUGCCUCCAGGUGCGGGGCAGUUACAGGAAGGUAACCAUUUACAGCCAGAAAAGGUUAAAUAUGCUCUUUUGUUUUCAGAAAAUGUAUAAAGGUCCAAUUUGUAACAGCAAGGUUUUCAAAUUAAGACAAUUCGUAUAGAGUAGCAAUUGCUGCACAAAGUAGAGUCUCUCUUUUUUUUUUUUUACAUUUGUCAUUUAAGAAGGCUGCCCUGCGGUAUUCAUAAUUCAUUGUUUACCACAAAGGUGGUUCAUAAAUUUAAGCUUUAAAAACGAUCUGUAAGUUGAUACUUUGGCUCUUUGGGGCUUAUUUCAUUAAGAAAUUUUCCUUGAUUGACCUCAGGGCAGCUGGGGCACUCCAAGGGGCUAUGGCGAUAAAAAGCUCAAUUGGUAAAGACACUCGAGAGGUGCAGAGGAGGCUCUGGCCACUGCUCACCCUUUGGUAUGAACAAGGGUGCCCAUGUGGUUGCCCCUUCUGUCAUCCAGAGAAAGUGCUACUAAAAAAACUUUAAAAAAUAUCAACCCUUUGAUGCUUUUCUUAAAAAUCUGGAGGUAUUAAAACAUUCCUACAAGAGAAUACAUUCCUA